rnacentral:rRNA from 2 species
ACUACUCUAGGCGGUGGAUCACUCGGCUCGU